CAGCUUUUGCCAGAUGCUCUUCCACUCCUCUCCAGCUUUCUUUGAACUUGUCUCUGCUUCAAGGCUUCAAGCAUGUGUGCAAGUGUUGUGUUUGUGCUAUUACAUGCAUUAAUGGUUGUACAGAAAUUUCUGGUUCUUUUUCCUCCAUAUUUUCCUCUAAAGAUAGCUCUAGGCCUUUAUUAUGUUGCCGUUUAUGUUUUUCCCCAAAUCAGGCUGAAACGAUUCUACCUUUCUGGUGGUCUAUGUUAAGUAAUUUUUAUGAGAAUUUAGUGGACAUUGCCAUUAGAGUUAUUUGAUUACUUCAUAUAGUUUUUGGUACGCAGCAUUCAGCAGUUGCCUUGCUUAUGGCUUAGUCAGAAUAUGGCUUUAAUCAAAUAAAUGAAUAUUAUCAUAAAAAGCAACAUCAUAGAGUUCGUCUUCCCUGAGUAACUGAGUCAUGUGCCAUGAAGUGG
rnacentral:misc_RNA from 1 species